rnacentral:misc_RNA from 1 species
AACAUCGCGCACCUGCGGGAACCUGCGGAGGGAUCAUUACAGAGUUGCAAAACUCCCUAAACCAUUGUGAACGUUACCUAAACCGUUGCUUCGGCGGGCGGCCCGGGUCCCUCCCGGCGCCCAUCGGCCCUCGCGGGCGCCCGCCGGAGGUAAACCAAACUAUUGCAUUGUAUGGCCUCUCUGAGUCUUCUGUACUGAAUAAGUCAAAACUUUCAACAACGGAUCUCAGAUCGGAAGAGC